rnacentral:rRNA from 1 species
UACAUAGGUGGCAAGCGUUAUCCGGAUUUAUUGGGCGUAAAGCGUGCGUAGACGGUUUUGCAAGUCUGAGGUUAAAUUUAGGGGCUCAACCCCUAACCGCCUUGGAACUACAUUACUAGAGUAUAGGAGAGGUUAGUGGAAUUUCAUGUGUAGCGGUGGAAUGCGUAGAUAUAUGAAGGAACACCAGUGGGCGAAGGCGGACUAACUGGCCUAUUACU